rnacentral:sRNA from 1 species
UCAAGCAUGGUGCUGGCUCAGUUAAAA